UGUUAGGGUGGGGGAGGGUACUGC
rnacentral:miRNA from 15 species